UACGGUGGAUGCGAGCGUUAUCCGGAUUUAUUGGGUUUAAAGGGUGCGUAGGCGGAAGCUUAAGUGUGAGGCGAAAUGCCACGGCUCAACCGUGGAACUGCCUCGCGAACUGGGUUUCUGGAAUGCCCCUGCCGUGGGAGGAAUGUGUGGUGUAGCGGUGAAAUGCAUAGAGAUCACACAGAACACCGAUUGCGAAGGCAUCUCACGAAGGGGUGAUUGACGCUGAGGCACGAAAGCGUGGGGAUCAAAC
rnacentral:rRNA from 1 species